CAGAACCCAAACCAGCAAAUGCCUAAAGCUGUUAAAUUUGAUGUGCCUGAAGAUGAUGACGAUGAUUUUACUGACGAUGAAUUAGAUGAUGAUUAUGACGAAGAUGAUGAAGAUUUCGAUGACGAUGAUGAGUUUGAUGAUGAAAUGGCUGAUUUACCACCUAAUAAGAUGAAACCCUCUAUGCCUAUGGGAAAUGGUGCUCACAUGAUGUUGAAUGGGAAUCAUCCACAGUUUAUGAAUGCCAUGAAGGGUGCCAAUUUUAAUGGCGGUGGUGGUGGUGGUGGAAACGGGAAGAAACCUGGUGGUGGUGGUGGUGGACCUGUGCCGGUUCAAAUUCAGGGUAUGGUUGGUGGUAAUGGAAAUGGAGGAAAGAAAGAAGGCGGCGGCGGUGGAGGUAACAAAAAUAAUGGUGGUAUNNNNNNNNNNNNNNNNNNNNNNNNNNNNNNNNNNNNNNNNNNNNNNNNNNNNNNNNNNNNNNNNNNNNNNNNNNNNNNNNNNNNNNNNNNNNNNNNNNNNNNNNNNNNNNNNNNNNNNNNNNNNNNNNNNNNNNNNNNNNGCUUACCGGCAGGAGGCGGUGGAUACUUUCAAGGUGGUGGUGGUGGUGGUAUGGGUCCAGAAAUGAUGCCAGGAAAUCCUUACCAACAACAACAACAGCAACAUCAGCAGCAGCAACAACAACAGUUAAUGGCUGCUGCAAUGAACCAACAACGGGCUGCGAUGGCGGGAGGAAAUGAUCAGAGAUUUCAGCAACCAAUGAUGUAUGCAAGGCCACCUCCAGCAGUGAAUUACAUGUAUCCUCCUCCUUACGCUUAUCCUCCUCCUCCAGAUCCUUACACACACUAUUUCAGUGAUGAAAAUACUUCCAGCUGCAAUAUCAUGUGAUGAUCUAAUUCAUCUCAACCAAGUGAAGGUUCAAACUAUAGUAUUUACCCUACUCUAAUUUUAUUAUGCAAUCAAUACCAAUGGAACAUGAGUUUUUUAUUUUCAUUUUUCUUUGCUUUGAUCCCCUUUUCAACUUAGGGGUUUCUAAUUACCUGUAGUUUAUAGAUAUCUUAUAAUAAUAUUACUAUUAUUAUUAUGUUCUUUGAGAGUAAGUAGUAAGUACUUCCUAUUUUAUUUUUUUUAUAUAUUAUAUGUGUUUAUAUUUUGGAAAUAGUAAUAAAAAUAUUUCAGAAAAAAAGUUAGCAAUAUUCUUGUUAUUGAGAAUGGAAUGAACAAAAUUCCCAAUUCUGUUUGCUCAUUUGAUAAACUCAUCCAAUUGUCUAUUUACUAAACAAUCAAUCACAUUGUUUGUGUUUGGGUGUCUAGUAUUAAAUUAUUGGCUUAUCUUAUUGUGUUAUGGCAUCUUACUAUAUCUUAUCUGUAUACAUUAUUUUGUGUCUCCCUUUGUUAUUUUGGGUUUGGACCCACCCAGUUGGAAUCUCUCUAUUUCUCAUAACAAAUGAAGUUGAUUUUAAUUUGGAUCUACUAUCCCAAAUCCAACCCAAACAGUGGUUUUCAAUCACAAUCUAGUAUUAAUCAGUGGUAUUUAUAUGUCGUUUUCUAAUUUUAAGGUUAUUAUGGCAUAUGCAUCUUCAUAACUAUCCUAUAAUUGUGUGGUUGACAUUGUAAUUGAUCAUAAUGUGUAGAAUUGAUGUUUCAUCCGAAGAAUUAUUGAUGUACAGUUAAUAUAUAUAGCAAUAUGUGUGUAGAAUAGAAUUGAAUUGUUGAUGAUAAUGGUGCGGAUAUGAUAUUAGCUGCAUAGUAACAGUUCACUCACUGUUGAACCAGCUGAGGCUCAACUAAAUGUAAUACUUACGUAACUGAACCAAAUCUUUAGCUGUACACCCAAAUCACCUGGGUUGGUUCUUUUUUUUUUUCUUAAAUGUUUUCAAGCUUUUUAGUGUAGUAUAUUUAGUUAUUGGGUCAUAAGUCUUCUAAAGUCAAAGGAGUUGUUUCUAUAAUUUGGUGUAUUAGUCCAACAAUCAAUAAAAAUAAGCCACAUACACCAAACUUUUAUUUAACAUGCAAUAUUUUUUGGCAGAUGCGUCAUGCCCCUAAAUUAUCGAGGGAUAAAUUAAAAAAAAAAACAAAGAGAAAAUAUUGAGCAUAAAUACAGAAGAUGAUCUAAUUUAAUUUUUUUUAUUCCACAAAAAUUUAGGUAUAGAUCUCAAAUAAUGUUGAUAAUGAGAUACUUUUUUUAUCAUCCACAACAGUGGUUUCAUGUUUUUGUGAGAGUUGAACUCAUAUGAAAUACAGUGUAUGAUCUAUUCUUUCCUAUAUAUUCAUUACAUAAUUAAUAUAUUUUUGUCUAUCAUAUAAUCAAAUACAUUAACUAUACAAUAAAUUAAAAAAAAAAUUACUUAGGGAAUGAGUAUUUCUUAGUACCUAUGGCUAUGCUAUUUUUUUUUUCAAUAUUAGUAAUUUUAUUAUUAAGUGAUUUCAACUCUCUUUUGAUCGCAAUUGCUGGUGAUCGAACUGUAAUACUUCUUACCUAUUUUAGCGUCAAUUAACACUAAACCAACGAUAUAACUAUGCUAUUUUUGUUUAUGAUUUGUUGAGGCACGCAAAGUAAUGUGGUAGUAAUUAAUUAAAGAAGGAAAAUGUUAAACAGAGCCCCCGGGACACUAGUUAAAUAUACAAAUAUAGAAGUUUUAUCUCGUAAAUUGUGCAUUCAAUGUUUUAAUUAUGUAAAAAGUUAUUCUCUCUCAUCAUUAACUUUAUUAUUUAUUUCAUUUUUUAGUAUGCUUAACUAGUUCCCCAGACGCACUAUUUAGCAUGACCCAUUAAAAGAAUGGUAUGCAUAAGUUUUGGAUUUUUAUAAUUAAAUAAUUGUACUAGUCUUUGUUUCAAUUUGAGGAAAUCAUGGAUGUGUGCGUGGUGGGGUGCACACCGAUGAAGUUGCGCAUGGACCCCAGCUAUAUAUAUCAAUCGGCCUAAUUAAUUAAUAUGCUCUUGUGACUAGUGGGGUUUAAUGGUGGGUCAUAUACAUCAUCACCGUCACUACAAUUGUGAUAAACACCAAAUUCUUCUGUCAGGAGUGAAUUUAUUUUACACAGUACUAGUACUAGUACUAAUCUUACAUCUUAUUUAAUAAUUAUGGUUACUGUUCCCACUAAGUAACUUAACUUUACAUCUAAAUUUCAACCUCUUGAAUAAAUCAUAGUACAAAUUGGAUAUAGUAGUUAGGUGGUGUAGUGUAGAAUAUUUAGGAUAUUCACAUGGGUUGACUGUUGAAUCUGAUAUGAUAUCAUCAUUCCUUGAGUGAGUACAUCAUAAUUCUUCACUAUGAUUCUUAUAUAAAGCUUUUAUUUAGAUAUUAUAUCUUUUUUGUCAUAUGAAUUAUAAGUUUAAAAUUCGAUCUUACCGAACAGAUUCAUGAUAUAAAUUAGUAUUUACUAUAAAUUUAUCUGCUAUAAAUUAAAUUAUCAAUUAUCCAUCAUUUUUUACCAAAUAGGCAUAUAUACAUGAAAUCUAAAUCUAUUAAGUAAGAAUAUACUUGGAUGAUCUAUGAUAUAAAUUUUCAAUAUAACAGUGAAUUCGGUAUUCGUUAUAAGUGGUGCAUCGUGGUGCACCGUGCACACCACUUGAUCAGCUCUUUCAUGUUAGCCUUCACCUAUGUUUUGUGUAUAUAUAUGGUUCGUAGGAAGAGGGGACGACCUGUCGAAUUCACAUCAGAAAUUGCCAGAACACAAAUGAAAUCUUGAAUUGCAUAUAGAAACAAAACGAACCAUUUAUGUCUCGGAGCUGAGGUAUAUGAAGAAUGGCUUUUUGGUCUCUUUCGUCCAAUGGUUAGGACAUCAAGUCUAUGGUCAAAUAUUUCAUCAAGUUUUCUACGCUACAUAAGUCACGAAUAUUAUUAUAACGAAUACGAAUUUUAUAAAAUUCAUCGUCGAAUUAAAACUUAAUAUCAUAUAGACCAUUCAUAAUUUUUCUUUUAAAAAAAUCAAAAAUCAUUUGAUAUGUUAUUGAGAUUUAUCAAAAUUAACGGUUGAUGAAUUUUUAUUGAAUACCGUUAAUCUGAAUCGUCCAAUCUAUCAAUACUUUCGAGAACUAAUUUGACAACGCGUCAUACUUAAUAAUUUUGAUAUUUUUAAGAGUUUAAUUGAUAUGCACUCACAGUGUAAAAUAGUUUUACACAAUCGUCCAAUAAAUCAUCAUUAUUUUAUCAUAUCGUAUCAAGAAAGUGAGGUAAAGUAGGGUAAUGUGGCGGAAACAUGAUUGAUAUUGGUUGACGGUGUAAACAAUUAAAUCCUAUUUUUAAAGCUGAGUUAAGAUCUGUGAAUGUGUGUGUGAAUAAUUGCAAAAUCCAGUACUUCAAUAAAUAAUUGCACCAAAACAAAGAUGAACUCUUGGAACACCGUUACUUUGCUUACCCCCAUUUUUCUCAACAAUGACUACUACAGUACUACUCAUCAUUCUCUCUGAACCUUUCUAGUUUUGUUUCAUGUCUCUGCUUUGAGACUUUAGAACCAUUUCUUCUACUUGUAAUUUCAUUCUAAAAAAGUAAAAAAUAAAAAAAGUCUACCAAACAAGAAACUACAUUUUUUUCCCCCUCAUUUCUUCUCUGUUUUCUCAGAUCUAAAAUCUCAGUUGCCCAGAUCUUUGUUUAUCACAAGUUACAUACUUUCCUUGUGUUAGUUGGUGGUUGUGUAUAAAAAAUGAGUAAAGAAGAAUUUUUGAAGAUACAGGUACUCCCAUCACAUUCUCAAUGUCUGUUUACUUUUGUGUUUUAUUUUGUUUUGUUUUGUUUUGUUUUAUCUCAUUUGAUUUUUAUUUUGCUUUUGUAUUCAGAAAUCUGUUCUUAAAGUAAACAUACACUGUGAUGGAUGCAAACAAAAAGUAAAGAAAAUCUUGCAGAAAAUUGAUGGUAUGCAAUGCAGCACUAUUAUGAUUUAUUUAUUUUUAUAUAGUUUCAAUUAUUAUUAUCCUAAGUAAAACAAAACAAAACCUUAAUUUUACCGACCUAGAAUUGAAUAUGUUGUUUUUGUUGAUUAAUGAAUGGCAGGGGUGUUUACAAUUGAGAUAGAUGCAGAACAAGGGAAGGUUACAGUUUCAGGAAAUGUGGACCCAAACAUUCUCAUCAAGAAGCUUGCAAAAUCAGGGAAACAUGCUGAGUUAUGGACUGUACCUAAACCAAACAACAACAACAAUAAUAAUAAUAAUAAUAAUAAUAAUAAUAAUAAUAAUAAUAAUAAUAAUAACAAUCAGAACAACCUUGUUAACCAGUUGAAGAACAUGCAGCAAAUUGACAAGGGAAAAACUAGUGGAGGAAACAACAACAACAAAGGACAGAAUCAAAAUCAGCAGAACCAGAAGGGUGGUGGUGGUGGUGGUGGAAACAAUAACCAACCCAAAGGUGGUGUUCCACAAGGACUAAAUCCACAGCAGCAACAGCAACUCCAACUUCAGCAACAGCUACAACAACUCCAACAGAUGAAAGGGUUUCAAGAUCUACCUCAAUUCAAGGGAAUGAAGAUGCCACCUAAUCAGAACCCAAACCAGCAAAUGCCUAAAGCUGUUAAAUUUGAUGUGCCUGAAGAUGACGAGGGUGAGUUUAGUGACGAUGAAUUAGAUGAUUAUGACGACGAAGAUGAUGAUGAAGAUUUUGAUGAUGAGUUUGAUGAUGAAAUGGUUGGUUUACCACCUAAUAAGAUGAAACCGUCUAUGCCUAUGGGGAAUGGUGCUCACAUGAUGUUGAAUGGGAAUCAUCAACAGCUUAUGAAUGCCAUGAAGGGUGCCAAU
rnacentral:lncRNA from 1 species